CACUUAAUCAUCUUACUAUUACCUAUUAUCAUCUAACAUUCUCAUUCCUUUUGUGCCUCUUGAUAUUUAAAUAAACGAAAUUCAAUGGAAUAGUCUUAAAAAUCCAAAAUUAUAUCCACAAUUGCAUUGUGUGACAAGGAAACUAGAAAUCAUGAAGUAGCAGGAGAUUCUGGAUAUUCAGAACUGUCAUGAAAAAUUUUAUUUCUUUGCUGGACUGCAAAAUCUAGCCUGGUAAUGUUGGAUGACACUAAAUUUAACCUUUUAAUGAUUCCCUCUUUCCUCUAAUUUUUCAUUGUGCUACAGCAUAAAUCUUCAAAUUAAUUCAUUUAAUAUGUUGCAAAUUUAUAAGUUUUAAUUUAGGAAAUAUUUUUACUCUUCAUAUCAAUAGAGGAAUGAUGAUCCCCUUUUAACUGUGAGCAUAUCCAUAGAAGCAAAUAAAUCUUCACAGGGGAAAAGGAACUAUUGGAAGACCAUUCUUUAUAAAGCUAAGGAUUGAUAACAUUGCUUUUUGGAAUAAUUAACCUGGAUUUUAAUUGCUAAUUUAGCAUUUCAGUAUUAAUCAUGUUAACAUAGAAUGUAUGUAACUUACACGCCAGCCGUAGUAGAAAUGAACUGCAGUACUUAAUGUCGAUCUUCUGAUAAAUAACAAAUUUAAUUUGAUGUCUGAUAUAAUUAAAAACGAAAUAUUUUUGUA